CAGUAGCCACGGGAAUACGAAGGGGGCUAGCGUUGCUCGGAUUUACUGGGCGUAAAGGGCACGUAGGCGGUGAGUUAAGUCUGCUGUGAAAUCCCCGGGCUCAACCUGGGAAUGGCAGUGGAUACUGGCUCGCUAGAGUGUGUCAGAGGAUGGUGGAAUUCCCGGUGUAGCGGUGAAAUGCGUAGAGAUCGGGAGGAACAUCAGUGGCGAAGGCGGCCAUCUGGGACAACACUGACGCUGAGGCACGAAAGCGUGGGGAGCAAACAGGAUUAGAUACCCCAGUAGUCCCUGUCUCUUAUAC
rnacentral:rRNA from 1 species